rnacentral:lncRNA from 1 species
CUGAAUGUUGGGCACCUCAAGUUGACAUUUUGCAGUGUGGGCCCCACUGAGUGUGCUGCCCUGGCCUUUGUGCUGCAGCACCUCCGGCGGCCCGUGGCCCUGCAGCUGGACUACAACUCUGUGGGUGACAUUGGCGUGGAGCAGCUGCUGCCUUGCCUUGGUGUCUGCAAGGCUCUGUAGUGAGUGUUACUGGGCAUUGCUGUUCAGCUGGGGAAUAACUACAUCACUGCCGCGGGAGCCCAAGUGCUGGCCGAGGGGCUCCGAGGCAACACCUCCUUGCAGUUCCUGGGUUCUGGGGCAACAGAGUGGGUGACGAGGGGGCCCAGGCCCUGGCUGAAGCCUUGGGUGAUCACCAGAGCUUGAGGUGGCUCAGCUGGUGGGGAACAACAUUGGCAGUGUGGGUGCCCAAGCCUUGGCACUGAUGCUGGCAAAGAACGUCAUGCUAG